UACGUAGGGUGCAAGCGUUGUCCGGAAUUAUUGGGCGUAAAGAGCUUGUAGGCGGUUUGUCGCGUCUGCUGUGAAAACUCGAGGCUUAACCUCGAGAUGUCGGCGGAAACCAUCUGGCUAGAGUCCGGAAGAGGAGAGUGGAAUUCCUGGUGUAGCGGUGAAAUGCGCAGAUAUCAGGAAGAACACCCGUGGCGAAGGCGGCUCUCUGGGACGGUACUGACGCUGAGACGCGAAAGCGUGGGGAGCGAACAGG
rnacentral:rRNA from 1 species